rnacentral:lncRNA from 1 species
UGUACGUCUCUACCGGUCUUGAUCUUCUUCAAGCUUCGGUCUUCUAUUUUCUUUACUUCGUUUUCAUUAUUUCCUUUCGAAGCCACAGCCGCCUCAUCCUUCCAGCAUCAACGAAGCAAUUCCAUCAUCAUCUCUCCUCCACUCACUCUCUCUCUCAGCCGAAGAAGCCCACAAACCGAAUCCCCAUCCUUUUUGCCCCACGCGUCUGAGCUUCCUCCUCGUUCGGUCAACUUGACCGAAGCUGUGCCGCCCCACCAUCUUCGAUUUCUGCUCCACCAGUUCUUGUCGUCAACAGUUCUUCAUCCCACGGAAGCCACCUCCACCCAAUCUCUCUCUCGUUGUUGCUUCAGCCCAAGAGCCCACCGACCGGCCCACAUCCAACGAAGCAGUCCACCGAAGACUCACCGAUGCCGCUCCUUUGUUGCCAAACGUCUCUCUUCGUCAACCGAGUGCCCAUGCCGUUGACACCGAACGCUGCAGCUGGCCACGCAUACAAGCAGCGAUUGAUGCUGCUUCUCGUCUCCACGCAUGGUCAACAAACCAGCCAUUGUUGACCCAGCAGAGUCCAAGCGAAGCAGCACCGUCCAUGAGCCAGCAUCACCGUGAUUUCUGCCGCAAGUUGAAGCCCAUCAGCCCACUCGAGAAUCCAGAUUUCGGCCCAGCAAAUUGCUGCUUCUUUGCUUCAGUUCAGCAAGCCCACAAUCCGGCCCAAGAGUGCAACAAUUCAGCUCACUUGAAGCCCAUUUGAAAUCCAAUUUCAGCCCAAGAGAUCAGCCCGGUUUUGAAGCCCGCGAAGCCAGCCCAUCUUGAAGCCCAGUUCCAAGCCCAAGCCCGAGAUCAAGCCCAGCAUUUGCCGUGGGCCUGCAAGGCCUUUGGGCCCGGUCCAUGUGCUCGUUGACGUCACCAAAAAUUCGGAUUUCGGCCGUCGCGUCGUCAUCGCGGUGUUCCAGUCUUCCCUUGGCAAAAGUGAAUUUU